rnacentral:rRNA from 1 species
GACGAACGCUGGCGGCGUGCCUAAUACAUGCAAGUCGAGCGCAGGAAACUGACGGAACUCUUCGGAGGGAAGGCAGUGGAAUGAGCGGCGGACGGGUGAGUAACACGUAAGGAACCUGCCUCAAGGAUUGGGAUAACUCCGAGAAAUCGGAGCUAAUACCGGAUAGUUCAACGGACCGCAUGGUCCGUUGAUGAAAGGCGCUCCGGCGUCACCUUGAGAUGGCCUUGCGGUGCAUUAGCUAGUUGGUGGGGUAACGGCUCACCAAGGCGACGAUGCAUAGCCGACCUGAGAGGGUGAUGGGCCACACUGGGACUGAGACACGGCCCAGACUCCUACGGGAGGCAGCAGUAGGGAAUCUUCCACAAUGGACGAAAGUCUGAUGGAGCAACGCCGCGUGAGUGGUGAAGGUUUUCGGAUCGUAAAACUCUGUUGUAAGGGAAGAACACGUACGAGAGGAAAUGCUCGUACCUUGACGGUACCUUACGAGAAAGCCACGGCUAACUACGUGCCAGCCGCCGCCGUAA